CACGUAGGGUGCGAGCGUUGUCCGGAAUUAUUGGGCGUAAAGGGCUCGUAGGCGGUUUGUCGCGUCGGGAGUGAAAACCAGGUGCUUAACACCUGGCUUGCUUUCGAUACGGGCAGACUAGAGUGCGGUAGGGGUGACUGGAAUUCCUGGUGUAGCGGUGGAAUGCGCAGAUAUCAGGAGGAACACCGGUGGCGAAGGCGGGUCUCUGGGCCGAUACUGACGCUGAGGAGCGAAAGCGUGGGGAGCGAACAGG
rnacentral:rRNA from 1 species